rnacentral:misc_RNA from 1 species
AACUUUCGGCAAUGUAUCACUUGGCUCUCGCAUCGAUUAAGAACACAGCGAAAUGUGAUAAGUAAUGUGAAUUGCAGAAUCCAGUGAAUCAUCGAAUCUUUGAACGCAUCUUGCGCUCCUUGGCAUUCCGAGGAGCAUGCCUGUUUGAGUGUCAUUAAACUAUCAAAACACUUUUAUUUCUUGAGGUGUUUUGGACUUUGGGAGUACUGUGCUGGUCUCUUUUUGAGCCAGCUCUCCUCAAAUGCAUUAACUUCGGAGACCCAUCAGUGUGAUAAUUUUGUUUAUACGCUGGCUUCUCCUUUUUUAAUUGCCCCUUUUGACCUCAAAUCAGGUAGGACUACCCGCUGAACUUAAGCAUAUCAAUAAGCGGAGGCU